CCUUACUCCUUUAGAGGUAACACAUCACUAUUGUAUCACUCCAUCUCUUUAAGCAGUGAUGCCUAAACUUCAAUUGUACUUGUUCCACAUGAAUUUUAUUGUCAUUCAGUUGUAGCAUGUUAAUCAUGCUAGAAUUUUUUUAGGAAUCCAUCACAUAUGCUAGUUUUCAAAUAGCUAUGCAUUAUCAGUGAACUAUUUUAGUUAAUUUUAGGUGCAAAUAUAACAUCUAAUUCUUUUUAUUAACUUGGUGAUAUCCUCAGAAUAUGAAUUAUUGGUGAAUGUGCAGUUAAGGGUUCUCUUUGAACUAUUUUAGCUAUUAAUUUGGGUGCAGAUAUGCUAAAUAAUUGUUUCUGUUGAGUAGUUGAGUCCUUCAAUCGUUCUUAGAGGUGAUGUCCUUAAAAGAAUCCGUAUAGCCUGAAAUUUGUUUAUUGUUGCUGCUUUUGUAACUUGUUGAUGUUGAACAACUUUAGUGCAUAUGAAUAAAUUAAACAAUCUGAUAUGGGAAAAGUUUCAUCAUCAUAACAUGGGGUUAGAGUUAUUUUCCUCCCUUCAUCUGAUUUGCGGAGAGGCUGAUGGUAAAGGCAGGAUCUCUUGUCAGAGACGUCUUAACAUUUUCCUUUUCAGAUGUAUGAACUUUGAGUAAAUUACCCUCUCACACACUUGUGUGUGUGUGUGUGUGUG
rnacentral:misc_RNA from 1 species